rnacentral:rRNA from 1 species
GGCUCUGAGGUGUGUACACAUCGCCCGAUCGCUCUCAUUAUAGAUUAUUCCAUAUACCUACUUUAAUGCAGCCUCCAUUCGGAUGAGAUAAGUCGUAACAUCGUAGACGCACUGGAAAGUGGAUCUAGGAAGAGUUUCC